AUAAGCCCUGGGCAGGAGAACUACCAGGAUCCUGAAGGAAGUGUGGGGAACCGCAGGAGCCUCUCAGGACCUCAGGCGACGUCCCCAGUCCCUGUUUUCCUCAGGACACCACAUUUCUGGUGACGGGACAGACAGACAUGCGGGAAGACAGGAGGGUGCUGAUGACAAGGCAUUUCCAGUUGGAUCGGGCCAGUGUCAUGCCUCGUGGCCCCUGAUGCCCAGUUAACCAGGAUCACACAAAGGUUUCACUCUUUAUUGUAGGUGUGUGAAAAGACUUACUGGUCUCAUGUAUUUUAUGUGUGUUGAUCUCUAUGUUUUGACUCAUCCAAAUAAACACAGCAAGACUCAUUUACAAGG